CAGGCUUAACACAUGCAAGUCGAGGGGCAGCAUGGUCUUAGCUUGCUAAGGCCGAUGGCGACCGGCGCACGGGUGAGUAACACGUAUCCAACCUGCCGUCUACUCUUGGACAGCCUUCUGAAAGGAAGAUUAAUACAAGAUGGCAUCAUGAGUCCGCAUGUUCACAUGAUUAAAGGUAUUCCGGUAGACGAUGGGGAUGCGUUCCAUUAGAUAGUAGGCGGGGUAACGGCCCACCUAGUCUUCGAUGGAUAGGGGUUCUGAGAGGAAGGUCCCCCACAUUGGAACUGAGACACGGUCCAAACUCCUACGGGAGGCAGCAGUGAGGAAUAUCGGUCAAUGGGCGAGAGCCUGAACCAGCCAAGUAGCGUGAAGGAUGACUGCCCUAUGGGUUGUAAACUUCUUUUAUAAAGGAAUAAAGUCGGGUAUGGAUACCCGUUUGCAUGUACUUUAUGAAUAAGGAUCGGCUAACUCCGUGCCAGCAGCCGCGGUAAUACGGAGGAUCCGAGCGUUAUCCGGAUUUAUUGGGUUUAAAGGGAGCGUAGAUGGAUGUUUAAGUCAGUUGUGAAAGUUUGCGGCUCAACCGUAAAAUUGCAGUUGAUACUGGAUAUCUUGAGUGCAGUUGAGGCAGGCGGAAUUCGUGGUGUAGCGGUGAAAUGCUUAGAUAUCACGGAGAACUCCGAUUGCAAAGGCAGCCUGCUAAGCUGCAACUGACAUUGAGGCUCGAAAGUGUGGGUAUCAAACAGGAUUAGAUACCCUGGUAGUCCACACGGUAAACGAUGAAUACUCGCUGUUUGCGAUAUACUGCAAGCGGCCAAGCGAAAGCGUUAAGUAUUCCACCUGGGGAGUACGCCGGCAACGGUGAAACUCAAAGGAAUUGACGGGGGCCCGCACAAGCGGAGGAACAUGUGGUUUAAUUCGAUGAUACGCGAGGAACCUUACCCGGGCUUAAAUUGCAGAUGAAUUACGGUGAAAGCCGUAAGCCGCAAGGCAUCUGUGAAGGUGCUGCAUGGUUGUCGUCAGCUCGUGCCGUGAGGUGUCGGCUUAAGUGCCAUAACGAGCGCAACCCUUGUUGUCAGUUACUAACAGGUUCCGCUGAGGACUCUGACAAGACUGCCAUCGUAAGAUGUGAGGAAGGUGGGGAUGACGUCAAAUCAGCACGGCCCUUACGUCCGGGGCUACACACGUGUUACAAUGGGGGGUACAGAGGGCCGCUACCACGCGAGUGGAUGCCAAUCCCCAAAACCUCUCUCAGUUCGGACUGGAGUCUGCAACCCGACUCCACGAAGCUGGAUUCGCUAGUAAUCGCGCAUCAGCCACGGCGCGGUGAAUACGUUCCCGGGCCUUGUACACACCGCCCGUCAAGCCAUGGGAGCCGGGGGUACCUGAAGUGCGUAACCGCGAGGAGCGCCCUAGGGUAAAACUGGUGACUGGGGCUAAGUCAUAACA
rnacentral:rRNA from 1 species